UUUGAUCCUGGCUCAGGAUGAACGCUGGCGGUAUGCUUAACACAUGCAAGUCGAACGGGAUGCUUAGGCAUCUAGUGGCGGACGGGUGAGUAACGCGUGAGAAUCUGGCUCCAGGUCGGGGAUAACAGUUGGAAACGACUGCUAAUACCGGAUGUGCCGAGAGGUGAAAGAUUUAUUGCCUGGAGAUGAGCUCGCGUCUGAUUAGCUAGUUGGUGGUGUAAGGGACCACCAAGGCGUCGAUCAGUAGCUGGUCUGAGAGGAUGAUCAGCCACACUGGGACUGAGACACGGCCCAGACUCCUACGGGAGGCAGCAGUGGGGAAUUUUCCGCAAUGGGCGAAAGCCUGACGGAGCAAUACCGCGUGAGGGAGGAAGGCUCUUGGGUCGUAAACCUCUUUUCUCAAGGAAGAAGAAAGUGACGGUACUUGAGGAAUAAGCAUCGGCUAACUCCGUGCCAGCAGCCGCGGUAAUACGGAGGAUGCAAGCGUUAUCCGGAAUGAUUGGGCGUAAAGGGUCUGCAGGUGGAACUGAAAGUCUGCUGUUAAAGAGUUUGGCUUAACCAAAUAAAAGCGGUGGAAACUACAGAACUAGAGUGUGGUAGGGGCAAAAGGAAUUCCUGGUGUAGCGGUGAAAUGCGUAGAUAUCAGGAAGAACACCGGUGGCGAAAGCGUUUUGCUAGACCGUAACUGACACUGAGGGACGAAAGCUAGGGGAGCGAAUGGGAUUAGAUACCCCAGUAGUCCUAGCCGUAAACGAUGGAUACUAGGCGUGGCUUGUAUCGACCCGAGCCGUGCCGGAGCUAACGCGUUAAGUAUCCCGCCUGGGGAGUACGCACGCAAGUGUGAAACUCAAAGGAAUUGACGGGGGCCCGCACAAGCGGUGGAGUAUGUGGUUUAAUUCGAUGCAACGCGAGGAACCUUACCAAGACUUGACAUCCUGCGAAUCCUGGUGAAAGCUGGGAGUGCCUUCGGGAGCGCAGAGACAGGUGGUGCAUGGCUGUCGUCAGCUCGUGUCGUGAGAUGUUGGGUUAAGUCCCGCAACGAGCGCAACCCUCGUUUUUAGUUGCCAGCAUUAAGUUGGGCACUCUAGAGAGACUGCCGGUGACAAACCGGAGGAAGGUGAGGAUGACGUCAAGUCAGCAUGCCCCUUACGUCUUGGGCUACACACGUACUACAAUGCUACGGACAGAGGGCAGCGAGCCAGGGAUGGCAAGCGAAUCCAGAAACCGUAGCUCAGUUCAGAUCGAAGGCUGCAACUCGCCCUCGUGAAGGAGGAAUCGCUAGUAAUUGCAGGUCAGCAUACUGCAGUGAAUUCGUUCCCGGGCCUUGUACACACCGCCCGUCACACCAUGGAAGUUGGUCACGCCCGAAGUCAUUACCCCAACCGAAAGGAGGGGGAUGCCUAAGGUAGGACU
rnacentral:rRNA from 1 species